UCCCGCGUAAUUUAAGCAUAUUAAUAAGCGGAGGAAAAGAAACUAACAAGGAUUCCCUUAGUAGCUGCGAGCGAACAGGGAGGAGCCCAGCACUGAAUCCUGCGCGCAAAGCACGCGUCUGGAAAUGUAGUGUUUGGGAGGGCCCGUUUAUCUCGCCGGUGGGCGCCCGUCCAAGUCCGUCUUGAAAGCGGCCACAGCCCAUAGAGGGUGCCAGGCCCGUAUGACGGCGCAUACAAACACCGGCGAAAGGGUCUCAGAGUUCAAGAGUACGUGAAACCGUUCGGGGGUAAACGGGCGAGAUCUGGAAAAUCGAAGCGAGUCAUUCACGUCCGCAUGUCGCGCGCAUCGUGGCUUCCGUCGAUGGUUGGUGUCGGCUACCGUGUCGCGUCGCAAGGCGCGCGCGCGUGGGUCGCUCCGCCACGGCCGGUGGGUUCACGUUCGCCGGCGUCGGGCUGCACUUGUCUCGUUGUAGUACGUNNNNNNNNNNNNNNNNNNNNNNNNNNNNNNNNNNNNNNNNNNNNNNNNNNUCUUGAAGCACGGACCAAGGAGUCUAACAUGUGCGCGAGUCAUUGGGACCGCAAUAAACCUAAAGGCGAAAUGAAAGUAAAGGUCGCGGCGCAAGCCCGGCCCAAAGAGGGGAGAUGUUCGUGGCGUCCCUAGUGUGCCGCCGACGGACCGCAUCCCCGGGGCGUCUCGUUGUCAUUGCGACACAGUAGGCGCACCCAGAGCGUACACGUUGGGACCCGAAAGAUGGUGAACUAUGCCUGGUCAGGUCGAAGUCACUGGUGCUCGGAGGACUAAAUGAGUAAGGUGUCGCAGUUGUCUCGCACAAUGGGCACACUACCAGUCUCAUCUGGUAAAGCGAAUGAUUAGAGGCCUUGGGGCCGAAACGACCUCAACCUAUUCUCAAACUUUAAAUGGGUGAGAAAAUCGACUUGCUUAAAUGGAUGAAGUCGAUGUGCGCUUAAUUGUGCACGCUAAAGUGGAUGAGCGAGUGCCAAGUGGGCCAUUUUUGGUAAGCAGAACUGGUGCUGUGGGAUGAACCAAACGUCGAGUUAAGGCGCCUAAAACGAUGCUCAUGGGAUACCAUGAAAGGCGUUGGUUGCUUAAGCGAUGUUGAUGUGCAGUCGUUUAAAAACCGAUAGUUGCGAGAGUCAACAAGCCACGGUUUGACCACAUCGGGCGAAAGGGAAUCCGUUUCCUAUUACGGAACCUGGUAGCGGAACCGACCAUGCGGGCCAAUGCGAAACCGCGACUCACCGUAUGUACCGCCGUCUGUCCGUUUAUGGACUCUCGGAAAUGGCAUGCGCGUCGCGAGUCUAGCAACUCGUCGGGGUAACCCAAAAGGACCCGGAGACGCCGCCGGAUGAUCGAGGCAGAGUUUUCUGUUCUGCAUAAGCAUUCGAGUUCCCUGGAAUCGCCUAGCGCGGAGAUAGGGUUUGGAAUGCGAAGAGCACCGCACUUGCGGCGGUGUCUCGAUCUAUCUCGCGGACCUUGAAAAUCCGGGAGAGGGCCACGUGGAGGUGUCGCGCCAGAUCGUACCCAUAUCCGCAGCAG
rnacentral:rRNA from 1 species